UGGUGACUUGGCAACCAUCUUGUAAGAAAGGGAGGCUCCUGAAAAUGGAG
rnacentral:other from 1 species